AUUGAACGCUGGCGGCAUGCUUUACACAUGCAAGUCAAACGGUAACAGGUUAAGCUGACGAGUGGCGAACGGGUGAGUAAUGUAUCGGAACGUGCCCAGUCGUGGGGGAUAACGUAGCGAAAGCUACGCUAAUACCGCAUACGAUCUGUGGAUGAAAGCGGGGGACCGUAAGGCCUCGCGCGAUUGGAGCGGCCGAUAUCAGAUUAGGUAGUUGGUGGGGUAAAAGCCCACCAAGCCAACGAUCUGUAGCUGGUCUGAGAGGACGACCAGCCACACUGGGACUGAGACACGGCCCAGACUCCUACGGGAGGCAGCAGUGGGGAAUUUUGGACAAUGGGGGCAACCCUGAUCCAGCAAUGCCGCGUGCAGGAAGAAGGCCUUCGGGUUGUAAACUGCUUUUGUACGGAACGAAAAGGCUCUGGUUAAUACCUGGGGUUUAUGACGGUACCGUAAGAAUAAGCACCGGCUAACUACGUGCCAGCAGCCGCCGUAAAAC
rnacentral:rRNA from 1 species